rnacentral:rRNA from 1 species
UGAUAAACGGGCAUCAAGCAUACUGCCGAAACUGCGGACUCUGGAUGUAUUCAGAGUGGUAGGGGAGCAUUCCGGUCGGCGCAGAAGGUCGUUCGUGAGGACGGCUGGAGCGUCCGGAAAAGAAAAUGUAGGCAUAAGUAACGACAAUGCGGGCGUGAAACCCGCACACCGAAAGCCCAAGGUUUCCUGAGCGACGUUAAUCGCCUCAGGGUAAGUCGGGCCCUAAGCCGAACCCGAAGGGGGAAGGUGAUGGACAACCGGUCAAGAUUCCGGUACCCGUUAUGUCAGUGAAGGAGUGACUGAGGAGUGACACCUCCGCCGCCUGACGGAAUAGGCGGUUGAAGCGCGUAGGUAUAGUUUCCGGUAAUACCGGAGAUUGCUGAAACGUGACAGUACCGCGAGCCUUCGGGCAAGCGGACAGCGAGGGUAAUCAGACUCACGAGAAAACCUCCGUAGCAUAUGGCAUGACGGCCCGUACCGUAAACCGACACAGGUGGGCGAGGAGAGAAUCCUAAGGUGUCGAGCGAUUCAUGGCCAAGGAACUCGGCAAACUGACCCCGUAACUUCGGGAGAAGGGGUCCCCCAGUAAUGGGGGCGCAGAGAAAUGGCCCAGGCGACUGUUUACCAAAAACACAUGGCUUUGCGAAAUCGAAAGAUGACGAAUAAGGCCUGACACCUGCCCGGUGCCGGAAGGUUAAGAGGGGGCGUAAUCUGGAAGCAAUGACGGAGAAGCGCUGAAUUGAAGCCCCGGUAAACGGCGGCCGUAACUAUAACGGUCCUAAGGUAGCGAAAUUCCUUGUCGGGUAAGUUCCGACCUGCACGAAUGGUGUAACGAUCUGGGCGCUGUCUCAGCCAUGAUCUCGGUGAAAUUGUAGUAGCGGUGAAGAUGCCGCUUACCCGCAACGGGACGGAAAGACCCCGUGAACCUUUACUGCAGCUUAGCGCUGAAACCGGGUAAUUGAUGUGUAGGAUAGGUGGGAGGCUGUGAUGGCAGUACGCCAGUAUUGCCGGAGCCGCUGUUGAAAUACCACCCUUUGGUUAUUUGGUUUCUAACUCUGUUUUGAGGACACCGCUUGGUGGGUAGUUUGACUGGGGUGGUCGCCUCCAAAAGCGUAACGGAGGCUUCCCAAGGUCCACUCAGCACGAAUGGUAACCGUGCGCAGAGUGUAUUGGUAUAAGUGGGCUUGACUGAGAGACCGACAAGUCGAUCAGGUGCGAAAGCAGGGCAAAGUGAUCCGGUGGUUCUACAUGGUUUGGCCAUCGCUCAAAGGAUAAAAGGUACUCCGGGGAUAACA